AAAGUAUUUCGCUUUUUGUUUGGAGAUGAACGAGACAACACGAGGCACAGCGACAUAAAUAUGACCAACCAGAUCCCAAGUAGACAGGAACAAAUGAAGAUAUAGCGCAUAGAAAGACUUAUUCUUGGUGAUCAACUGCUAUUGACAUUUUUGAAUUGGGACAAUUGUGGAGUGAUUCGGAAGAAAAACGUUUGCAACACAUCCAUUCCAGACUGCUCUGACAGAUAAAACUGACACACUUGAUGAGGACACAGUCAAGCUUUAAAAGACCGUGUGAUAAAGCAGUCUUCAAUUACUACGGUGUCUGAAUUGCAAGAAGAAAUGACCCUCCACUUAAACAUGUGACAUCUAAACUGUUUUGUGUUUUAGUUCAGCUUUUUAUAGGUUUAUCUUAAGUUGGUUAAAGGCGGAGUGCACUAUUUUUGAAAGCCAAUGUUAACAUUUGAAAUUACCUAAACAAACAUGCCUCUACCCCAAUAGAAUCUGGACCUUCUUUUGAUAGAGCCACCACACACAUACGCAACCCCGGCAAGGAUGUCGGUUAGUAGACACACCCCUUACUGCUGGUUGGCUACAAGUGUGUUUUGGUAGUCGGCCCAAUUUCCUUUUCCAAAGCGUUUUUCAAACAUUGUGCACUCAGUCUUUAAAUUGCACUUAAAACAUUUUUUUUCAGUAACUUUUUAUGCAGAGAAUUACAUUAUGAUUAUUAUAUAAUCAUUGCUUAUGAAUAUUUAGUGAUUGCAUAUUCAUAGUGUACUUUUCAUUAAUACAUUUAAUGUUAAUGUUGUACAAUUUGAUAGAAGUAGCUCUGUAAUUGCAUUUCUCUGAUAUUUGUUUUAUAUUGUUUCUCUUUGGUCAAGAGAUUAUGUAUGUCUCUGUGCUUGAUUAAUUUAAUUUAGGUAUUUUUGUAAUGUACACAACACAAUAUGAAGUAUAUUAAAUUGUUCUGUAUUCAAAAUCUGUGUAUGUGUCUUAAUAUUUAAUGAUUUUAAUAUAACAUUUUAAAUAUUAAAAACAGCUUUAUAAUAAAAUAGUAGUAUAAUGCUAAUACAUUUCUAUUAAUGUAAUGCUAGUAUAUUUCUAAUAUGCUGAAGUACUAUUAAAGUGUUC